rnacentral:antisense_RNA from 1 species
GUGCGGGCCGUGUACUCCCAGAUGGCGUCCUCGCCCAGCAGGGCCUGCUCGCCGAAGUAGGCACCGUCGGCGAGGACUCCGAGGGACUCGUCCUCGCCGUAGGGGCCGGUGCCGACCCGCUCCACCCUGCCGUGUGCCAGCAGGUACACCUCCUCGGCCGGGCUGCCGAAGGAGGCGAUCACCUGGCCGGCCCCGAUCUCCCGCUGCCGGCAGCGGGAGGCGAGCUCGGCCAGCACCUCCUCGUCCUCGUACGACCUGAGCACCGGCAGCUCGCCGAGCUCGGCCGGGAUGAUCUCGACGCGGUCGCCGGUCUUCACGAACGUCAUCCGGCCAUCACCCACGGCGUAGGUCAGCCGCCGGUUGACCCGGUACGUACCGCCCUGCACAUCGACCCAGGGCAGCAUGCGCAGCAGCCAGCGUGAACUGAUCUCCUGCAUCUGCGGCACGGACUUGGUCGUGGUGGCCAGGUUCCGCGCGGCGGCCGUGCCGAGGCUCUGCUGCUGCCU